GAUGAACGCUGGCGGCGUGCCUAAUACAUGCAAGUCGAGCGAACGGACGAGAAGCUUGCUUCUCUGAUGUUAGCGGCGGACGGGUGAGUAACACGUGGAUAACCUACCUAUAAGACUGGGAUCACUUCGGGAAACCGUAGCUAAUACCGGAUAAUAUUUUGAACCGCAUGGUUCAAAAGUGAAAGACGGUCUUGCGGUCACGUAUAGAUGGAUCCGCGCUGCAUUAGCUAGUUGGUAAGGUAACGGCUUACCAAGGCAACGAUGCAUAGCCGACAUGAGAGGGUGAUCGGCCACACUGGGACUGAGACACGGCCCAGACUCCUACGGGAGGGAGCAGUAGGGAAUCGUCCGCAAUGGGCGAAAGCCUGACGGAGCAACGCCGCGGGAGUGAUGAAGGUCUUCGGAUCGUAAAACUCUGUUAUUAGGGAAGAACAUAUGUGUAAGUAACUGUGCACAUCUUGACGGUACCUAAGCAGAAAGCCACGGCUAAAUUCGGG
rnacentral:rRNA from 1 species